AUCCUAGAAAGUUUCUCGUAGUCCGGAUUGGAGUCUGCAACUCGACUCCAUGAAAGUCGGAAUCGCUAGUAAUCGCGGAUCAGCAUGCCGCGGUGAAUACGUUCUCGGGUCUUGUACACGCCGCCCGUCACACCAUGGAAGUGGAUUGCACCAGAAGUAGAUAGUCUAACCUUCGGGAGGGCGUUUACCACGGUGUGCUUCAUGACUGGGGUGAAGUCGUAACAAGGUAGCCGUAGGGGAACCUGUGGCUGGAUCACCUCCUU
rnacentral:rRNA from 1 species